rnacentral:rRNA from 1 species
GACGAACGCUGGCGGCGUGCCUAAUACAUGCAAGUGGGACGCAAGGGAACACACUGUGCUUGCACACCGUGUUUUCUUGAGUCGCGAACGGGUGAGUAACGCGUAGGUAACCUGCCUAUUAGCGGGGGAUAACUAUUGGAAACGAUAGCUAAUACCGCAUAAUAUUAAUUAUUGCAUGAUAAUUGAUUGAAAGAUAGCAAGCGCAUCACUAGUAGAUGGACCUGCGUUGUAUUAGCUAGUUGGUAAGGUAAGAGCUUACCAAGGCGACGAUACAUAGCCGACCUGAGAGGGUGAUCGGCCACACUGGGACUGAGACACGGCCCAGACUCCUACGGGAGGCAGCAGUAGGGAAUCUUCGGCAAUGGACGAAAGUCUGACCGAGCAACGCCGCGUGAGUGAAGAAGGUUUUCGGAUCGUAAAGCUCUGUUGUAAGUCAAGAACGUGUGUGAGAGUGGA